rnacentral:rRNA from 1 species
GGACGAACGCUGGCGGCGUGCCUAAUACAUGCAAGUCGAACGAACCGMAACUUGAACUUGUUCWRGUUAAGGUUAGUGGCGCACGGGUGAGUAACACGUGGGGAACCUGCCCUUUAGUGGGGGAUAACAGUCGGAAACGACUGCUAAUACCGCAUAGACAAYUUAACCGCCUGGUUAAGUUGGGAAAGGUGCUACGGCAUCAUUAAAGGAUGGCCCCGCGGUGCAUUAGCUAGUUGGUAAGGUAACGGCUUACCAAGGCGAUGAUGCAUAGCCGACCUGAGAGGGUGAUCGGCCACAUUGGGACUGAGACACGGCCCAAACUCCUACGGGAGGCAGCAGUAGGGAAUCUUCCGCAAUGGACGCAAGUCUGACGGAGCAACGCCGCGUGUGUGAAGAAGGUUUUCGGAUCGUAAAGCACUGUUGUUAGAGAAGAACGGCUACUAGAGGAAAUGYUAGUAGAUUGACGGUAUCUAACCAGAAAGCCACGGCUAACUACGU